AUGUACACACACCGACGCACCGGCUCCUCCGCUCCCACCCCACUGCUCCUGUGUGUGUCUCUCAUGCACGGGUCUGUGAGGAACAGGAGACCCCCCGCGGUGCCUUGCAUUGAUACACUGUUUCCCCUCCACACUAAAAAAUCAUUUAAAAGCCUCGAUGCGCGCUCCCGCCGCAGCACCGCGCGCGCUCAGCCUCCCGUUCCUCCCCCAAUCAGCAGCACCGACGCCAGCAUCCCUCCACCACCCACCUCUCUGCUCCCUCUCUCUCUCCCUCUCUCUCCCUCCCUCCCCCCCCCCCCCCCCCCGUCUCUCUCCUUCCAGCUCAUCAUUUCCAGGACGUGCGGAAGGAGCCGGUCGGAGGGUCGCGAUGCUCCGCGGGGGUCCCGCGUCCCGGUGACGCGCUGUGGCGCACAGCACCGCAAGACCUCCAGCAGAAGCGCGCAGAGACCGGCGGAAACCCGCAGAACCGGGAACCAACACCCUGCAGUACCCGGAGCCGCAGAACCGGGAGCCCGCAUUCCAGUCACGUCCUGGGGGGUUUCGGGGGCUUUCGGGGGGGGGGGCGCUUCUCCCCUCUCCUCCUUGGACACAGGGAGUGGACGUUCUCGCCGGAGGACGAGGGUCGCGUCCCACGGUCCUCAAACCGGUCCGUUUCUAUCUGGACUCGCCGAAUUCCAGCGUGGAGAGGCUCCUCUCGGAAGCUGCGCGACCCCACUGUCUCUUCUUCCACGCGGGGGAGGCGAUGUGAAGUUGGAGCCCAUUGAACCCAGAUCUCCGAAUGAUUUUCCGGAUGCCCUGGGGGACACAGUGUGAGAAGGGAGAUUUUGGGUCGGCGCGGCCUCUUCCCAACCAGGCUGCCGUGUCUGAGAUGGAGAGGAAGCGCGGCUCCGAGAGCUCCGCCCACCGGGGUCCCACCGCGGGGUUCGAACCCCUGCGCAUUCGCACGGACAGGUAGGUGCACACUGACUUCUCUCUGUAUUCAUUUUUGCACAGACUCCCUCUGCUCCAGGAAGCGCAGCACUCCCGGCGAGGGGGUGCAGCUCUCCUCCCGGAUUCCCCUGGGUCGGCCCUGGGUCCGAUUUCUCCUCCCCCUCUCCCCUCUCCCCUCCCCCCUUUGUCCACCUCAUGUUGCUGUGGAUUGUGACGCAGCGCAGCUCGACUUCCUGCGCCGUCUGCAGUGCCGCUGUGAGCCGGCGGUCCGCCCCCCCCCCCAUCGGCAUGCCGAGGCUUCGGCGAUGAAUCACCGCGAAAGGGGGCCCCGCUGGGCCUGCUCUCGCACCACAUCCUCCACGAACAUUUUCAUACUUUAUUGAUCUGCUUCUCACUGUUCUGCAGGUGUGGGUGCAUGACACCCCACUGCCCCCUCACCACCGUAGCUGAGGUCACGUGGUCAGCGCGUAAUCCCCCGUCCGACCCCAGGAAAAGGCUGCUUUCGCUGAGAUCUGACAGGUGAGUGCAGAUGAGCUCGUUCUUCUCUAUGGUCACCUGCAACAUGCGGAACGCAUCCUACGUGUUGGGAGAUUUCAACAUGAUCUACAUAGAGAUCUCCAAGGGCGGGAGCUGCGGCGCCUUCGCUCUCGCAGUGUGACAUUUGGACACGAGGGAAGUGGUGAAGCCCCCGCUGUCAGAAGAAGGAGUUUGUACCGUGAAGAGAAUUAGACUGAUUCAAUGACGAUCACAGGAGCAGCACAUGGUCAAGCUGAGCUCCCCCUCCCCCCUCCCUCUGGCCAUGGGGGACUGGGGCAGCCGGUCUCUUCAACAGACAGCAUGGCAGAGCUGGGGGGAGUGUGUGUGUGUGUGUGUGUGUGUGUGU
rnacentral:lncRNA from 1 species